UCCCUGGUGGUCCAGGGGCUAAGACUCUGUACUCCCAAUGCAGAUGAUCUAGGUUCAAUUCCUGGUCAGGGAA